rnacentral:rRNA from 1 species
UACGUAGGUGGCAAGCGUUGUCCGGAUUUACUGGGCGUAAAGAGCGCGCAGGCGGUCAGAUAAGUCGAAUGUGAAAGCCCCCGGCUCAACUGGGGAGGGUCAUUCGAUACUGUUCGACUCGAAGGCAGGAGAGGGAAGUGGAAUUCCCGGUGUAGAGGUGAAAUUCGUAGAUAUUGGGAAGAACACCGGUGGCGAAGGCGGCCAUCUGGACCGCAACUGACGCUGAGGCGCGAAAGCGUGGGGAGCAAACAGG